CCUACGGGGGGCUGCAGUGGGGAAUAUUGGACAAUGGGGGCAACCCUGAUCCAGCCAUGCCGCGUGUGUGAAGAAGGCCCUCGGGUUGUAAAGCACUUUCAGUGAGGAAGAACGCCUGGUGGUUAAUACCCAUCAGGAAAGACAUCACUCACAGAAGAAGCACCGGCUAACUCCGUGCCAGCAGCCGCGGUAAUACGGAGGGUGCGAGCGUUAAUCGGAAUUACUGGGCGUAAAGCGCGCGUAGGUGGCUUGAUAAGCCGGUUGUGAAAGCCCCGGGCUCAACCUGGGAACGGCAUCCGGAACUGUCAAGCUAGAGUGCAGGAGAGGAAGGUAGGAUUCCCGGUGUAGCGGUGAAAUGCGUAGAGGUCGGGAGGAAUACCAGUGGCGAAGGCGGCCUUCUGGACUGACACUGACACUGAGGUGCGAAAGCGUGGGUAGCAAACAGGAUUAGAUACCCGUGUAGUC
rnacentral:rRNA from 1 species